AGUCCAUGGUGAGGAAACCUUCUCAAUAAAUCCUUAAAUCUCUCUCAUGUAUCAUAAAGAGUUUCAAUAUCAAACUGAACAAAAGAAGAGAUGUCGUUCCUCAACUU
rfam:Gossypium hirsutum cultivar TM-1 chromosome 4, whole genome shotgun sequence